rnacentral:rRNA from 1 species
GAUGAACGCUGGCGGCGCGCCUAACACAUGCAAGUCGAACGAUUAAAGCACCUUCGGGUGUGUAUAAAGUGGCGAACGGCUGAGUAACACGUGGGCAACCUGCCCCUCUCAUUGGGAUAGCCACGGGAAACCGUGGAUAAUACCGAAUACUUCGGGACUUCCGCAUGGAAGACUCGAGAAAGCUCCGGCGGAGAGGGAUGGGCCCGCGGCCUGUUAGCUUGUUGGUGGGGUAAUGGCCUACCAAGGCAAUGAUGGGUAGCUGGGUUGAGAGACCGACCAGCCAGAUUGGGACUGAGAAACGGCCCAGACUCCUACGGGAGGCAGCAGUGGGGAAUCUUGCACAAUGGGCGAAAGCCUGAUGCAGCGACGCCGCGUGCGGGAUGAAGGCCUUCGGGUUGUAAACCGCUUUCAGCAGGGACGAGGCGAUAGUGACGGUACCUGCAGAAGAAGCCCCGGCUAACUACGUG